rnacentral:lncRNA from 1 species
ACUCAACCAGUGUUGCCGAAGUGUUCUCGCGCAUUGACAACAAAUUUGAUCUUAUGUAUUCUAAGCGUGCUUUUGUCCACUGGUAUGUUGGUGAGGGCAUGGAGGAAGGAGAGUUCUCUGAAGCUCGUGAGGAUCUUGCUGCCCUGGAGAAGGAUUAUGAGGAAGUUGGUGCAGAGUCUGCUGAGGGGGAUGAAGGUGACGAAGGAGAUGAAUAUUGAUUGAGGGUUGUGUUGGCUUUCAUUUGUG